GGGGGCGACCUGGCUUUCGACGUGGGUUGCAGAGCAGAAGAGGGCAUGUCGAGGACUGUUCACCUCGUAAAUCAAACAGAAAAAACUUAAACGCAAACAACAAGCGUUUCGCUUUAGCCGCUUAAGGCUUAGCCGUUGUCCCUAAUUGUCUUUGGUUGGGAUCGACAACGUCACUUACAAAGAACCGACGUGGAUUGGGUUACUUAAUUCGCGUUUAAAUCCAAGGUGACUCGUGCUGCGCGUGCGUGCUUAACUGGUGCAAACGGCAUUAAAUUUAAACAGUUAAGCUAAACAUGUAGAUCUCCCUGUGAAGGACUUGCGGACGCGGGUUCGAUUCCCGCCGCCUCCACCA
rnacentral:tmRNA from 1 species